ACCACAGGAGCCGCCCGAGCCGCCCAAGCUGCAACCAGAGAAGCGAGCCGGCUGCUGCUAGAACCUCUGAGCUGGCAAGUUCCAAGACCCGGGUCUGGCUCAGCUGGGGGGGGCGGGACCAUGAAGCCGCUCCGCCCCCGUCCGAGCUCCGCCCCUGCCUGGCCUUUGGCCGCGGCCAGCAGUUCCGCCCGGUGCCAGCUCAGAGAUCUGCGUCCUGCCAGCUCCGGCCUGGAACGCCCUGGUAUCACGCAGCAGAUACUCAGUGGUCAGCAUCUCGCUGCACAGAACACGGGAAAGUGUAGCUCGGAGUAGGGCAAACGAAGACACUGCAGACAGGAGUGCGUGCGAAGGACCCGAAUAAGAUCCGGGAGGAGGACUAGGGUUGGAGUGCAGAAGCUGUGGUGAUGGAGAUGCGAGAGUUUGGGGCCUAGGGGAACUGUACUGGGCUGCAUGAGGUAAAGAAACCUGAGACUUGGAGUGUUUGUCGAUUGAAGCCGAGCUCCUGCCAGAAGCUAGCCUCCAUCCUUGAAACAGCCUGAGUGGCCUUAAAUGAAGUAGGGGCUUUGUGGACUUCCUGGCACCCUCCCUUACCCUCCCCGAACUCAAAAUUUGCUUUCGUGGAGAAACUCUGCCAUUAGUAAGAGUUGGCAGCUUCUGCGAGGGUAGGCUAUGGAGCAUCCAGCCCACAGAAAGGCCUCAGGUGUGCAAUUCCCAGGCCACAAUUCCAAGGAACCUGUGGUCCCUGUGUGUAGUGUAUCCUUUAUAAUCUUGAAGCUAAGUUUGGGGCUGGAUGUUUCUUUACAGUGGAAUCUAUCUUGUGUGGGACUUUAGCAUCCUUCAGUCUUGGCACCCAUUCUUUGUAUCAAUAGUAUCUCCCCUCCUACUCCCAGGUUUGACAACUCAAAUGGUCUCCAAACAUCCCUCCCACAGAAACACAAAAUAACCAUCUGGGAGUUCAAUCUGGAAAUGAAGGAGGGUUAUUCCAUCAGUGUCUUCCUUCUAUGGAUAGUCAUAUACAGAUCCUAACAUUUGUCAGGGAGUGGCACACGAGAGGACUGAAAUGGGGAGAUGAGGAGACACUCUCUUUGGCCUGGAGCUUGAUUCAGAAAAGGCAUUGAGAAGGCAGUGAGUCAGGCAUUGUUCAUCUGAGCUCCAAAGCCCCCAACAAUAUCAAAUGAUGGAAGAAAUUGGCCUUGAUACAUUUCAGGAGGAAUUUCAAGUGACCGAUGGGAAUGGGAGUAUUGCAGGGUGCCCCUAUCCACCAGGAGAGACCUAGAAGUUUAGUUUAUUGGAUGGUGACCAUACUGAGAGCAGGAGAGGGACAAAUUUAUAAGUCUUCAGGACAGAGGAAGAGCUAACACCAACUGUGGAUUCAAGGCCACUAAAGAGAGCUGAGAAAAGGUGAAGAUCCUGUGGAGCUGAAAAAGACUAAGUGCUGAACAGUCCUACAACUGAGCAGGUCUUUCUAUGCAACUAAAACCCACAACUGGAACCCUACAUAGCAUAGAAAGUGAUGUCACCCUGAAAUCCAAUGCCUAGUUUGAAGCUCCAGGUACACACUUGUGCAUUCAGAGUUUAGAGGCCUACUCCACUAACUCCAAGGCCCUUUACACUAUGGGCCUUGCCCCUGUCACUACAGAGUUACAGUGUAAAGAAUUACAUGAGCCAGGUGAUAACACCAAGCUGGUGAGGAAAGGAACCUGCCAAGUGCACACUGUAAACUCCAGCCACUCUCUGUAUAGCAAUUCCUCUUACCAGGGGCUCUGCAGAGCUGAAUACACUAUUUGCAUGUAACCAGUCAUGUCUCAACCAUCUUGGAAAGGCUAUAUGGCUUGUCACAGUUCAGACCAUGCAUCAUGGAAGCAGUUUUCAGAGCUGCCCCUGGAAUAACUACACUAUGCUGGCUUGCAGAAUUUUGUGCUGUAAAAAGCCUCAGAGACUCCUGGCACCUGUUCUGACCACUGUCCUGCAGCAAACCCAUCUUCAGAGAAGAUAGCCCCCAAAAGACAGAGUUCCUAGAGGCAGGAGAAUUAUGUAGUCUAAGGCUGUUAAAUUGCCUACCAACCACUGCCUCCUUCCAUGCCUAGUUCCUGGUGUGUUGAUCAUGGACCUGUAGGGGCCUGGGACAGUGUCUCUGAGACUUUCCAGGUCCCUUUGGGAAGUUCUGUAAGGAAAGAGCCUGACAUAUGUCAUUCCAUGCAGGUUUGCUGUCUGUGAGUCAGAGAAAAGUGGGAGGAAGAGAGUCACAGCUGUCUUGGCUGAAGCCAAGGGCCUCCCUCAAGUCCAUAGAGCAAGGGGCUCAGAUUCAAAUCCAGGCAGACUGGCCAUUUAUAAUCUAAGGUAUGUAAAUAUGGGGCACAAAAGUACAGAAGGUUGUCCAUGGUAACUGGAAGAGCACAGCUAAGGGGCAGCAAGCUGUAGUGACCCCACCAGUGGGCAAUUGACUCUUGUGGCAACUCUCAAAAGAGAAGGGAUGGCCUUAGGAGAGGUUCAGCUACAUCAAGAUUCAUACAUGGAAAUGACAGCUUGACACUGCAAGUGGACCCUAGUUGUUAGUCAAAUAACCAUAAAGGCCUGAACAAAGAAACCAAUGAUAUAAUACCAAGCCAUCGCUGUGCAGUGGUGGCAUUUUAAUCCUAGCACUCAGGAGGCAGAGGCAGAGGCAUGUGUAUCUCCGAGUUCAAAGCCAGCCUGGUCUACAGAGUGAGCUCCAGGACAGACAGGGGUACACAGGGCUACACAGGCUACAAAAAACCAGGGUUAAAAAAAAAGAGUACCAAGCCAGCUAGCUAUGUGUCUAGCCUAGAUAGGCUGCAUAUCAUGAUUUCUGAUCUGAAACAGCUGAUGUAUAUCAGCAGUUGCCUGUGAAGCUGGGAGUCAGAUAAUUCUGCCUAGGUCAGGAGAAUGUGUAGAAAAGCUGAGCACCAGGGUAAGAACUGAAGGGCAAGGGAUACUUGUGUUGGCACCUGGUGCUAUAGUAGCUGAGAGCAUUGAGCAAAAGUAUGAAAAGCAAACUCAGAGAAUAGGGUGGAAUGUGGUGGGGCCACCAUAUGACAGUGACCAUAACCUAGGGUGUGGCUGAGUGGCCCAUACACAUUGGUCUGUAGUCACUUAGGACAUCAGCUAGAAGGACUAACCUUCUGAUUCUCAUGACAAAAAUGGCCAAAGAAAAUCUACUUCCUGAUGCCUAAGGAAAGAGCAGUGUCUCCACACAGCCACCACCUAAAUUUCUGUGUGUGCCUGAAACAUUAAAAAAUUGUAGUAGCCAGUCUGUCCACUUUCCCAAGGAGAAGGCUGUGUAUAUACCUUGUGUUCACAUAAACAUCCCCCAAAUUAUAUAGUUGUCACAGAAGUCACAGACCUUUCAGCUCUGUCUACAAGUAGAUGGACCAUAGACACAAAAGACUGUGACAUAACCAGGAAGCUGUGCACAGACACCAGCCCUAAGUGUAAUGGGGUUCACACUAGUGUACCUUUGAUGCCUUUGGACCCUGAGCUGCUGAGAAGCAUCCAUCUGCUCCUCACCAAGCCUAGUCCCCCAAACAGCUAGGGAGGCCACAGGGCAGUAGCAUCCCACCUAGAGUACACCACUGGCAUGAGAGCCUGGUGCCUGGUUGAGAGCUAUCUUGGGUGGGUGUUACCCGGAACCUGGCAGGUACUCAAUCUGCAACUGAAUCCCAGAAUGCACUUAUGCCUGAUCUACCUGUGAUCACCCUAUAGAAUAGCAAGAUAAUUCCAGAUAACAACAGGAAGUUAGCACCCAGCAGAUGCCCUUACUUUCCUGAAAUUUCAUAGCUGAGAAAAAGACUCACUCCACCAUGUUAGUGGUAUCUACUUUCUUAGAUAGGAAAGCACCUCCAGACCCUAACAGGUUCUGUAACCAGUUAAGGGAUGGGAGAUUGUGUACCUGUGCCUGAUGCUAUCCUGCAUAAGGCCUAAUCAGCCUCUGCUAAACUAGAACUCCAGUCCCACCAAUGCUGCAGUGCCCAUAGACUGGGAGAUAGACCCUAUUGAUCUGUCAUGUUGGGAAGGCUGAACUAUGCAUAUGUGGGCACAGCCCUGACUGAAUCAAAGGUGGGAAGCUGUCUGUAUGUAGGAACAGGGGGAAAGAGAACAGUGUGAUCACCACUCAGUAAUUUCCCAGCUGGCUUGGAUUUGGUGUCUCUCCUCUAGUUCAUAGCUGAGGUCUUCAGUGAGAGACCCAGGGCUGGCCCUCCCCAAAAGACAACAACUUGCAUCUCAGUGACUCAGUCCAGCUGGCGGGGAUGGCUGUAAACUAUGAUCAAUAAGAGUUUGUCAGUGGGUCCUAUAUCUACCCAUAUUAUCAACCCUUCUAGUCUUGUCUUUGGAGAAAUGAUAGACUCUGAGUGUGUAGCUAGAAGCUGUCCCAACCCAGAGGGUCUGAAGCCAGACUUUAAGCCCUGGAGCAAUGAGAGGCAUGAAAGUGCUAUUCCAGGGCAGGUCCCCAGGCUGGCCACAUCUGAGACAAAGGCAAGAACCUGGAGUCCACCUCUCCUGAUGGUUCCACUGGACAGAUGGUUCCACCCUGAGUCAGGAGGCAAAGGUAUAGCCAAGCUCAGGGGAUAUUAGUUGGAUCAGGUCUUCUAUCUCUAACAUAGCAAUAUGUUACCUGUGUGUGCUGCCUUGUCCCCAGGCAGGGAGCAUCCAAUGCCCCAAAUAUAUAGCUUGUCAGAUUCAGUAUCCUUCACCCCAGCCCACUAUACAGUGUCCAACGGGGCUUGUAAAUAGCUGGACAGAGACCUCAGAGGUGAGGGCUGGGUAGGUAGAUGUUAUGUAAAGAAGGGGUGAUAGGACACAGGGUGACCUAAUACCAUCACAUUGGCAGGGGUAAUACUGAGCCUUACAUACCUUCUGUGCCAUCUGUAUCUUGCCAGGUGGAGAAAACUAAGGAAUCCCAGGGACUAGACAAUGGUGGCACACACCUUUAAUCCCAACACUCUGGAGGCAGAGGCAAGCGGAUCGCUAUGAGUUUAAGGACAGCCAGAGCUGUUACACAGAGAAACCCUGUCUCAAAAAAAAAAAAAAAAGAGGAACCCCAGUGGUUUUCCGACUGCAAGAGUGGUUGAUGGGGUCCUUCCAAGAUUGCAAAAUUGUGAGUAAGCAUCCUAUUCCUCAGCAUCAGCCCCACUGGGAUGGGAUUUGGGAAAUCUUUGACCCACACAGCAGGUUCAGACAGCCCUUGCUACAACAUGGGUUUUAGGCUCCAAACACCAUGUCCAGGCUCUAGCUCUAGCUUUUACCUUACCCUCCCCAUCUUUGCGGAAGGGACACUGUGCUUUGUUUAAAUUUUUAGAAGUGAGGAAACACGGAGGAACUCUCUUUUAGGCCAUAAUGGUGGAAUAUGGCUGUCAGUUCAGCCUCGAGAAAGACAGCUGAGCUCAAGAUGCUAUGGACCCUGGACUCCCUCCCCCCAUUCUCCUAUUUUACAGUCCCCUCACCCUUUACCAGAUUGGCUUAUCCAUAGGUGUUCCUCUUUUUCUACCCCGUGGGAGGACCUCCUUACCCUGGCUGUGCUCACAACUGGUCUUUGAAUCACGUGGAACAGCCAGUGUUGGGUAUACUCCCUGUAGGGCUGAUAGUUGCAGGCAACCCACAUACACACACACACAACCUGACCCUGGGAGGGUAGCACAAGCUGUGUAGAGGGAAAAACGAUGAAACCACAUUAGUAGGAAGAAUAAAACCACACAUAUUUAUAUACAGUGUGUAAGUGUUACAACUCUAAGAGGAAAG